CCUUUUUCUGAUCAAUGAAAUUGAUCUCCUCGUGAAGAAGCGAGGAUAAACAUAUAAGACGAGAAGACCCUAUGGAGCUUUAAACAACAGAUAUUUGCUAAAUCUAAACUUUAUUUCUGAAGACUAAACAAAUUAAAGCAUUUUACUCUUAAGUUUUAGGUUGGGGUGACCACGGAGAAAAAAUUAACCUCCACGUUGUAUGAAGCCCCUCGGCUUCUAAGCUAAAAGCCACAGCUUAAAGCAUCAACACAUUGACCUCCAUUGACCCAAUAAUUUGACCAACGAACCAAGUUACCCUAGGGAUAACAGCGCAAUCUACUUUGAGAGCCCAUAUCGACAAGUAGGUUUACGACCUCGAUGUU
rnacentral:rRNA from 1 species